UGACACGUAGGCACCAAGCGUUGUCCGGAUUUAUUGGGCGUAAAGAGCUCGUAGGCGGUUCAGUAAGUCGGGUGUGAAAACUUUGGGCUUAACCCAAAGCGUGCAUCCGAUACUGCUGUGACUUGAGUACGGUAGGGGAGCGGGGAAUUCCUAGUGUAGCGGUGAAAUGCGCAGAUAUUAGGAGGAACACCGGUGGCGAAGGCGCCGCUCUGGGCCGAAACUGACGCUGAGGAGCGAAAGCAUGGGUAGCAAACAGGAUUAGAUACCCUGGUAGUCCACGCUGUAAACGAUGGGCACUAGGUGUCCGGGGUAUUGACCCCCUGGGUGCCGCAGCUAACGCAUUAAGUGCCCCGCCUGGGGAGUACGGUCGCAAGAUUA
rnacentral:rRNA from 1 species